GAUGAACGCUGGCGGCGUGCUUAACACAUGCAAGUCGAACGGAAAGGCCCAAGCUUGCUUGGGUGCUCGAGUGGCGAACGGGUGAGUAACACGUGGGUGAUCUGCCCUGCACUUUGGGAUAAGCCUGGGAAACUGGGUCUAAUACCGGAUAGGACCAUCGUUUAGUGUCGGUGGUGGAAAGUUUUUCGGUGUGGGAUGAGCUCGCGGCCUAUCAGCUUGUUGGUGGGGUAAUGGCCUACCAAGGCGUCGACGGGUAGCCGGCCUGAGAGGGUGUACGGCCACAUUGGGACAGAGAUACGGCCCAGACUCCUACGGGAGGCAGCAGUGGGGAAUAUUGCACAAUGGGCGCAAGCCUGAUGCAGCGACGCCGCGUGGGGGAUGACGGCCUUCGGGUUGUAAACUCCUUUCGCCAAGGACGAAGCGUUUUGUGACGGUACUUGGAGAAGAAGCACCGGCUAACUACGUG
rnacentral:rRNA from 1 species